CUGUAGAAAACUUCUCCUAGUACUGUCAUACUCCCAGCAGUAGACACAAACAAUAUAUAAUCAAGUUUAUCAGAUAAUACAUUAAAUUUUGAUGUAAAAACAGGUGAAACAAAUGAAUGCAAUGCACUAGUAUCAAUCAAACUAUGAGCAAAAUAGUUACAGAUAGUGUACAUACCUUAUACCACGUAUGGGUUGGCUUCUGCAUGCUGUUGGGUGAGAUUGUAAACUCUACCUUGGAUAGGAGGUCUGCCCUGAUUCUGGUUCUUUGGGCACUCCCUCGCAUAAUGUUGGGCACUACCACAUAUGUGACAGUUGUUGUUGAGGUGGUAGCAGGAUCGGUUCCCAUGAUCC
rnacentral:lncRNA from 1 species